GACGAACCGAGCGAACGUUGUUCGGAAUCACUGGGCUUAAAGCGUGUGUAGGCGGCGGCCUAAGUACCUUGUGAAAUCCCACGGCUCACCCGUGGAACUGCUCGGUAUACUGGGUCGCUUGAGCCACUUAGGGGCUACCGGAACAAAUGGUGGAGCGGUGAAAUGCGUAGAUAUCAUUUGGAACGCCAAUGGUGAAAACAGGUAGCUGGGAGUGUGCUGACGCUGAGACACGAAAGCCAGGGGAGCAAACGGG
rnacentral:rRNA from 1 species